GACGAACGCUGGCGGCGUGCCUAAUACAUGCAAGUAGAACGCAGUUUCGAACGGGUGAGUAACGCGUAGGUAACUGCCUCAUAGCGGGGGAUAACCAUUGGAAACGAUAGCUAAUACCGCAAUCUGUGAGAUGGACCUGCGUUGCAUUAGCUAGUUGGUGAGGUAACGGCUCACCAAGGCCACGAUGCAUAGCCGACCUGAGAGGAUGAUCAGCCACACUGGGACUGAGACACGGCCCAGACUCCUACGGGAGGCAGCAGUGGGGAAUCUUCGGCAAUGGACGGAAGUCUGACCGAGCAACGCCGCGUGUGUGAAGAAGGUUUUCGGAUCGUAAAGCUCUGUUGUUAGAGAAGGGUAACUAACCAGAAAGGGACGGCUAACUACGUGCAAGCCGCCGCGGUAAUC
rnacentral:rRNA from 1 species